ensembl:snRNA U6 U6 spliceosomal RNA
GUCCUCAGUUCAGCAGCACAUAUAAUAAAAUUGGAACUACACAGAGAAGAUUAGCAUGGUCCCUGCACAAAGAUGACACGCUCCAGCCAACAAUACAAAAUAAAUUAUU